AUUCAGCUGGCGAGUCUCAAAUAGGACGAAACGCUCGUUCUGGAU
rnacentral:hammerhead_ribozyme from 1 species